rnacentral:rRNA from 1 species
CGAGCGUUGUCCGGAAUUACUGGGCGUAAAGGGAGCGUAGGCGGCGGAGCAAGUCAGAAGUGAAAGCCCGGGGCUCAACCCCGGGACGGCUUUUGAAACUGCCCUGCUUGAUUUCACGAGAGGUAAGCGGAAUUCCUAGUGUA